rnacentral:rRNA from 1 species
UUCCGUAGGUGAACCUGCGGAAGGAUCAUUAACACGAAAAUCCAUUCACAUUCUCAUUCACUGUGGGACCUGAAAUAUGGACCCUCGUCUCAGACGGGGCUGUUGCGAGACCCGCUUCAGUUCUGCUUUGAGUCAUUUAACCUUUUUUUGUUUUUACAUCCAUCUUCUUGUAAAUUCAAUUUUUAUCUUAUCACAACUUUUAGCGGUGGAUGCCUCGGCUCGAGUAUCGAUGAAGGACGCAGCAAAAUGCGAUAAGCACUGCGAAUGGCAGAAUUUCGAGAAUCAAUAGAAUGCUGAACGCAUACUGCACUUUUGGUUCAUCCCAGAAGUAUGUUUGUUUCAGGAGGUUUAUACAUUACUGCUAUCAUGUAAGCAAGUUUCGGCUCGUUUCAUGUUAUGCGUUUUUGCGUGUCAGCGUCUAGUGUUAAGUCACCGUUGACACAUUAAAUCUAGUAGUUGGGUCCAACUAAUUAAGCUGUCGCCCAGUGUUGAAUUUAUUUCUCAUUGUGACUCUUAAUUUUGGAUCGAAUAAAACUUCUUAGAAUUUUUGAACUUUGUUCAUUUCUGUUUACCUAUGAAAUCAAACAGGGCUACCCGCUGAAUUUAAGCAUAUC